rnacentral:rRNA from 1 species
UUAAGCGACUAAGCGUACACGGUGGAUGCCCUGGCAGUCAGAGGCGAUGAAGGACGUGCUAAUCUGCGAAAAGCGUCGGUAAGGUGAUAUGAACCGUUAUAGCCGGCGAUGUCCGAAUGGGGAAACCCAGUGUGAUUCGUCACACUAUCGUUAACUGAAUACAUAGGUUAACGAGGCGAACCGGGGGAACUGAAACAUCUAAGUACCCCGAGGAAAAGAAAUCAACCGAGAUUCCCCCAGUAGCGGCGAGCGAACGGGGAGCAGCCCAGAGUCUGAAUCAGCUUGUGUGUUAGUGGAACGGUCUGGAAAGUCCGACGGUACAGGGUGAUAGUCCCGUACACCAAAAUGCACAGGCUGUGAACUCGAAGAGUAGGGCGGGACACGUGGUAUCCUGUCUGAAUAUGGGGGGACCAUCCUCCAAGGCUAAAUACUCCUGACUGACCGAUAGUGAACCAGUACCGUGAGGGAAAGGCGAAAAGAACCCCGGCGAGGGGAGUGAAAAAGAACCUGAAACCGUGUACGUACAAGCAGUGGGAGCACCUUCGGGUGUGACUGCGUACCUUUUGUAUAAUGGGUCAGCGACUUAUAUUCUGUAGCAAGGUUAACCGUAUAGGGGAGCCGCAGGGAAACCGAGUCUUAACUGGGCGUUAAGUUGCAGGGUAUAGACCCGAAACCCGGUGAUCUAGCCAUGGGCAGGUUGAAGGUUGGGUAACACUAACUGGAGGACCGAACCGACUAAUGUUGAAAAAUUAGCGGAUGACUUGUGGCUGGGGGUGAAAGGCCAAUCAAACCGGGAGAUAGCUGGUUCUCCCCGAAAGCUAUUUAGGUAGCGCCUCGUGAAUUCAUCUUCGGGGGUAGAGCACUGUUUCGGCUAGGGGGUCAUCCCGACUUACCAACCCGAUGCAAACUACGAAUACCGAAGAAUGUUAUCACGGGAGACACACGGCGGGUGCUAACGUCCGUCGUGAAGAGGGAAACAACCCAGACCGCCAGCUAAGGUCCCAAAGUCAUGGUUAAGUGGGAAACGAUGUGGGAAGGCACAGACAGCCAGGAUGUUGGCUUAGAAGCAGCCAUCAUUUAAAGAAAGCGUAAUAGCUCACUGGUCGAGUCGGCCUGCGCGGAAGAUGUAACGGGGCUAAACCAUGCACCGAAGCUGCGGCAGCGACACUAUGUGUUGUUGGGUAGGGGAGCGUUCUGUAAGCCUGCGAAGGUGACCUGUGAGGGUUGCUGGAGGUAUCAGAAGUGCGAAUGCUGACAUAAGUAACGAUAAAGCGGGUGAAAAGCCCGCUCGCCGGAAGACCAAGGGUUCCUGUCCAACGUUAAUCGGGGCAGGGUGAGUCGACCCCUAAGGCGAGGCCGAAAGGCGUAGUCGAUGGGAAACAGGUUAAUAUUCCUGUACUUGGUGUUACUGCGAAGGGGGGACGGAGAAGGCUAUGUUAGCCGGGCGACGGUUGUCCCGGUUUAAGCAUGUAGGCUGGUUGUCCAGGCAAAUCCGGAUAAUCAAGGCUGAGGUGUGAUGACGAGGCACUACGGUGCUGAAGUAACAAAUGCCCUGCUUCCAGGAAAAGCCUCUAAGCAUCAGGUAACAUUAAAUCGUACCCCAAACCGACACAGGUGGUCAGGUAGAGAAUACCAAGGCGCUUGAGAGAACUCGGGUGAAGGAACUAGGCAAAAUGGUGCCGUAACUUCGGGAGAAGGCACGCUGGUGUGUAGGUGAAGUCCCUGCGGAUGGAGCUGAGACCAGUCGAAGAUACCAGCUGGCUGCAACUGUUUAUUAAAAACACAGCACUGUGCAAACACGAAAGUGGACGUAUACGGUGUGACGCCUGCCCGGUGCCGGAAGGUUAAUUGAUGGGGUUAUCCGUAAGGAGAAGCUCUUGAUCGAAGCCCCGGUAAACGGCGGCCGUAACUAUAACGGUCCUAAGGUAGCGAAAUUCCUUGUCGGGUAAGUUCCGACCUGCACGAAUGGCGUAAUGAUGGCCAGGCUGUCUCCACCCGAGACUCAGUGAAAUUGAACUCGCUGUGAAGAUGCAGUGUACCCGCGGCAAGACGGAAAGACCCCGUGAACCUUUACUAUAGCUUGACACUGAACAUUGAGCCUUGAUGUGUAGGAUAGGUGGGAGGCUUUGAAGCGUGGACGCCAGUCUGCGUGGAGCCAACCUUGAAAUACCACCCUUUAAUGUUUGAUGUUCUAACGUUGGCCCCUGACCGGGGUUGCGGACAGUGUCUGGUGGGUAGUUUGACUGGGGCGGUCUCCUCCCAAAGCGUAACGGAGGAGCACGAAGGUUAGCUAAUCCUGGUCGGACAUCAGGAGGUUAGUGCAAUGGCAUAAGCUAGCUUGACUGCGAGCGUGACGGCGCGAGCAGGUGCGAAAGCAGGUCAUAGUGAUCCGGUGGUUCUGAAUGGAAGGGCCAUCGCUCAACGGAUAAAAGGUACUCCGGGGAUAACAGGCUGAUACCGCCCAAGAGUUCAUAUCGACGGCGGUGUUUGGCACCUCGAUGUCGGCUCAUCACAUCCUGGGGCUGAAGUAGGUCCCAAGGGUAUGGCUGUUCGCCAUUUAAAGUGGUACGCGAGCUGGGUUUAGAACGUCGUGAGACAGUUCGGUCCCUAUCUGCCGUGGGCGCUGGAGAAUUGAGGGGGGCUGCUCCUAGUACGAGAGGACCGGAGUGGACGCAUCACUGGUGUUCGGGUUGUCAUGCCAAUGGCACUGCCCGGUAGCUAAAUGCGGAAGAGAUAAGUGCUGAAAGCAUCUAAGCACGAAACUUGCCCCGAGAUGAGUUCUCCCUGAGACUUUAAGUCUCCUGAAGGAACGUUGAAGACGACGACGUUGAUAGGCCGGGUGUGUAAGCGCAGCGAUGCGUUGAGCUAACCGGUACUAAUGAACCGUGAGGCUUAACCU